AGCGAACGCUGGCGGCAGGCCUAACACAUGCAAGUCGAACGAACUCUUCGGAGUUAGUGGCGGACGGGUGAGUAACACGUGGGAACGUGCCUUUUGGUUCGGAAUAACUCAGGGAAACUUGUGCUAAUACCGAAUGUGCCCUUCGGGGGAAAGAUUUAUGGCCAUUGGAGCGGCCCGCGUCUGAUUAGCUGGUUGGUGAGGUAACGGCUCACCAAGGCGACGAUCAGUAGCUGGUCUGAGAGGAUGACCAGCCACACUGGGACUGAGGCACGGCCCAGACUCCUACGGGAGGGAGCAGUGGGGAAUCUUGCGCAAUGGGGGAAAGCCUGACGCAGCCAUGCGGCGGGAAUGAUGAAGGUCGUAGGAUUGUAAAAUUCUUUGACCGGAGACGAUAAUGACGGUACCCGGAGAAGAAGCCCCGGCUAACUUCGUG
rnacentral:rRNA from 1 species